ACUUCCUUGAAGACACCUGCCAUGAACUCUUUCUCCAGCAGCGCUGAGGAGUGCGACAUUCAGGAAAUGGCAAUGCGGCAGUAAGGAAGGAAUCUGUGCCCUUUAAUGACCUAGAGGAGUAGAUCCACUUCGCCACCUGGACCGGCCAGACUAAUGUGGCCCGGACUCUCAGCUGGACUGACAGGCAAAAUAUCUGUGUCCGUGUACGUUAUUCAUCUGUCACUGGGUCAAGGUCUCCGGGACAGACCCCCUACAGCUGGCGCUCCGUGUGAGGAAUGCUGCGAAGGAUCACGACGGACCCCCCAAAAUGAAGGUGAAAAGGACCGCAGAGUCAGUGAGUCAGAUACAAAGCUGGAAUAAGAGGAAUGACCACUUCGUCUGACAGACCUGUUGCUGCACACAUCUGUACCCUUCGGUCAACAGAACCCGAUGCAAAGAACAGAAAAGGGAGAGAUGUGGGAGUUCAGACAGGCUGGUGGCGUGUCCAGAAUUUAUUCCUUCCGGUGGGUUCUUGGUCUCGCUGACUUCAAGAAUGAAGCCGCAAACCUUUGCUGCCUAUAUCACCCAAACCUGAAAAGGGAAAGAAGGAUGUGAAGAAAAUAAUAUAGGAGGAAGAAGAAUGAAGAAACAGCGGGCAAGAAAAAGAAGAAGACUAGAAAGAGAAGAUGAAGCAGGAUAAAGUGGAGGAGAAAUAGCUUUACUGAAUGGAAGUAUGUCUGUUACUUCUGCUCUUCCAACAACAACAACAACAACAAAAAGCCCAAGGAUGCUGCUAAAUAUCUUAAAAGGUACAAGCAAAUAGUUAUGAUAGUUUUA
rnacentral:lncRNA from 1 species